UGCUCACUUAGACUCUAGGACCUUGGAGAAGGCCUAUAGCCUACUUAUCUAAAAAGCUGGACCCAAUGGCUAAUGGAUGGCCCCAUUGCCUAAAAACUAUAACAGCGGCGGCCCUACUAAUCAAGGAUGCUGAUAAGUUAACGCUGGGGCAGAAGCUAACCGUUAUAGCCCCCCAUGCCCUAGAGAGCAUCAUCCGCCAGCCACCAGACAGAUGGCUAUCAAACUCUAGAAUAACACACUAUCAGAGCCUGUUGCUUGACAAGGACAGAAUAAUACUGGGACCCCCCCGCCCCGCUUAACCCGGCUACACUACUACCUGAACAAUCAUCAGAACCCGUCACUCAUGACUGUCAACAUAUACUGGCAGAAGAAACCAGUAUACGACGGGAUUUCAAAGAUCAGCCACUGCCCCACCCUAAGGUCAUAUGGAUCACUGAUGGCAGCAGCUUUCUCCAGGACGAUACAU
rnacentral:lncRNA from 1 species